GACAGAGGGGGCAAGCGUUGUCCGGAAUUACUGGGCGUAAAGCGCACGCAGGCGGCCCGGCAAGUGGUGUGUGACAGCGAACGGCUUAACCGUCCGAGGCCAUGCCAGACUGCCGAGCUUGAGCCGUGCAGAGGCCAGUGGAAUUGCCGGUGUAGGAGUGACAUCCGUAGAGACCGGCAGGAACACCGAUGGGGAAGCCAGCUGGCUGGGCACGAGCUGACGCUCAGGUGCGAUAGCGUGGGGAGCAAACCGG
rnacentral:rRNA from 1 species